UACGUAGGGGGCAAGCGUUGUCCGGAUUUAUUGGGCGUAAAGAGCGUGUAGGCGGCCUGAAAGGUCAGCUGUGAAAACUCGAGGCUCAACCUCGAGACGUCGGUUGAAACCAUCUGGCUAGAGUCCGGAAGAGGAGUGUGGAAUUCCCGGUGUAGCGGUGAAAUGCGCAGAUAUCGGGAGGAACACCAGUGGCGAAGGCGGCCUUCUGGACCAGUACUGACGCU
rnacentral:rRNA from 1 species